rnacentral:rRNA from 1 species
UAUCAAUAAGCGGAGGAAAAGAAACUAACAAGGAUUCCCCUAGUAACUGCGAGUGAAGCGGGAAAAGCUCAAAUUUAAAAUCUGGUGGCCUUUGGCCAUCCGAGUUGUAAUUUAGAGAAGCGUCUUCCGCGCUGGACCGUGCACAAGUCUCCUGGAACGGAGCGUCAUAGAGGGUGAGAAUCCCGUCUUUGGCACGGACAUGCCAGGGCUUUUGUGAUGCGCUCUCGAAGAGUCGAGUUGUUUGGGAAUGCAGCUCAAAAUGGGUGGUGAACUCCAUCUAAAGCUAAAUAUUGGCGAGAGACCGAUAGCGAACAAGUACCGUGAGGGAAAGAUGAAAAGCACUUUGGAAAGAGAGUGAAACAGUACGUGAAAUUGUUGAAAGGGAAACGCUUGAAGUCAGUCGCGUCGACCGAGACUCAGCCUUGCCUUGGCUUGGUGUACUUCUCGGCCGACGGGUCAGCAUCAAUUUUGCCCCUUGGAUAAUGGCGAGGGAAACGUGACACCUUUACGGUGUGUUAUAGUCUCUUGUCGCAUGCAAGGGUUGGGAUUGAGGAACUCAGCACGCGCCUUUGGGUGUCGGGGUUUUUGCCCACGAUACGUGCUUAGGAUGUUGGCGUAAUGGCUUUAAACGACC